ACAGGGAAGUAACAGGCAAAGUCUCGGAAGUGGUAAAUGAACAGAAACAGAAGAAUACAGCAAAGAACAAUGACCAACAGAGAGCUUAUAUGCUGAGGGAGGGGUAGAGAAUGGCAUGGGAUGCCGCAGUGUUAAUCAGUAGCUGAGGGAAGGAGACUAAUUAACAUGAAUGGAGGUGAACAGAGAUACAAAGAAACUAAACACAAAACCAUGGCAACAUCCCACUUCGGAGAACUCUGGAACAGGAACAGGAAGCAUGGAAACAAAAGCAGGAGGCAGGUCAUCCUCAAUCCCCUCAGAGAACUCUGAAUCUGUCAAGGUCUGGGAAACUUGUUGCCACUACUUACUGUGAUUAGUCACCAGAUGGCGCGGGAGCUCCUUGUGGAGGUGUGCAGCAGGUGUCGCUUGUCAUCAAUCAAGUCCUGAGGUUUAAAAGCUUAUUUCCUGGCUCCAGUUCCUGUGUUGCUUCUCUGGCAAGAUCCAAGUAUCUUUGAUUCCAAGCUCUCUCGUUUUACCAAGCUUCCGCUGGCUGUCUCCAAGCUCCAAGCCUCCAGGCAACCUGCAAGUGAACCUAGCUCACCCUCCACUGUGAUUAACAGACUCCACCACCAAGUGCUCAACUCACCUCUGUCUGACCUCCCACACUCCGCAUCGUUCUCCCCUCUGGCGGUUUCCUCCA